GGCGAUGAAGGACGUGGUAGCCUGCGAAAAGCUUCGGGGGAGCUGGCAAACAAGCUUUGAUCCGGAGAUGUCCGAAUGGGGAAACCCACCGAGCAAUCGGUACCAGACACUGAAUUCAUAGGUGGCUGGAGCGAACCUGGUGAAUUGAAACAUCUCAGUAACCAGAGGAAAAGAAAUCAACCGAGAUUCCCUUAGUAGUGGCGAGCGAACGGGGAACAGCCCAGUCGGGGCAAGUUGGCGAGUGCUAGUAAAACGGUCUGGAAAGUCCGGCCACAGUAGGUGAUAGCCCUGUAUACGAAAGCACGAACCAAUGACCGACGAAGAGUAGGGCGGGACACGUGUAAUCCUGUCUGAACAUGGGGGGACCAUCCUCCAAGGCUAAAUACUCUCUACCGACCGAUAGUGAACCAGUACCGUGAGGG
rnacentral:rRNA from 1 species